UUUGAAAAAUAUGCUUUACUGAAAAACAUCUUUGUUCACUGCUUAAAGCUUCAAAUGAAACAAAGCCAAGUUUUAAAAUUCUUUCUUGAAACUAACAUUUAAAGGCAGUAACUCACAGAUUCUUCCCAUUCAUAAAAUUCAGCUUUGUGUUUUAAGAUGAUUACCACAAGGAACAAUGUUUUUAUCUGCCCUAUGAUACCUGACAGCUGGGAACUGCACCAGAGAUCUGCCAUCAUCCAGACUUAAUCUAUUAGCUUUGAAAAGAGACAAUACUGUGGAAUUACUGCACACUCUCACUAAUGGCUCACCUGACUUCAAUGUUUUGUUUGCUUGUUUUAGAGGUGGAGAAAAGAUACAUUUUACAGUUGCUCAAAAUCACAACUGGAGUAAAAACUAGAGAACUCUGCCAUUUCAACUGGCUAGAAAGCAUGCAGAACCAGGAAACAAACCAGAUCCAUCAGCCAGACCAGGCUAGCACACAGAUGGCUGACUGAUGGUUUACAGUGAUGUAAACCCUCUUCCCUCAGGAUGUCCUGAAGUGCACAAAUGCUUUUAAAAUGUCACUGUAUAGUUAUACAAAGUAUUAAACUAGGGCUAGAAAGAAUGUCAUCUUACAUCUCCAUUGUGGCAGAUACAUUUAAAGCCAUCCAAUAGGCAGCUAUGAAGAGGUACCGAUAUUUGGCAAUAGCCAUCACCCCACCCUUUGCUAAAGCAUUUACUGUUCCAUCUGGUUAGCCACAGUAUUCCGAAAUGUAAAAAAAACCCACUAAGCUUUCAACAGCAUGUCAAGUAAAGAUGUCACCACAAGAAAGAAGUCAAGUCUCUCAACUUGCAUGGCAAGGACCUUCACCAUUUCUUCAAACUGAAAUUGCUAGAGUGGGGGGAAUAAAGUAAAAGAAAUGAAGUUACUCCACAUAAAACCUACUAAUCCCGUCUGAGAAGACUGGGAAGUACAAGUGGCAGACUUAACUUCUGUAAUUCAGGCAAAUAAUUUGGGAAACAGAGCAUUAGCUACAAGUACCAUGUGAAUGUCUUUUUUUUCCCCUUCUCAAAUCUGUUCUUUUCCUACAGUCUGAAAUCAGCCAUUUAGGUCAUUAUUUUCCUGAGGUAAAGAUGACUGCAGUUGUCUU
rnacentral:lncRNA from 1 species